rnacentral:rRNA from 1 species
UACAGAGGUCCCAAGCGUUGUUCGGAUUCACUGGGCGUAAAGGGUGCGUAGGUGGCGAGGCAAGUCAGGUGUGAAAUCUCGGGGCUCAACCCCGAAACUGCACUUGAUACUGCCUUGCUCGAGUACUGGAGAGGAGAUUGGAAUUUACGGUGUAGCAGUGAAAUGCGUAGAUAUCGUAAGGAAGACCAGUGGCGAAGGCGAAUCUCUGGACAGUUACUGACACUGAGGCACGAAGGCCAGGGGAGCAAACGGG